UUUUUGAGUAUGGAGAGCAGUCUCUAGGCCUUUCUUUUAAUGGCACUCUUGAGAUUAAUUGCUCGAAGGACGUCAAAAUUCAGAGAAUUAUCGGACCAUGUACAUCUAUGGAGAAGAAGGGGGCUCUUUGUGCUGACACCAUUGUAGGACAAGGAAAUACAGCUUCAUGGAAGAUGUGUGGUCUUGAUAGAAGUACUUGUUUGACUGUGUUCUUUAAUAUUUC